UCACCAUGCAGUGGUUCAGCCCGCAGUACUUGGCUGCCUUCGUUCUGGGGCUGCUCGCAGCCGCCUCCGCCUCACCGCUGCCUGGCGGCGGGGGCGGCGGCGGCGGUGGGGGCGGUGGCGGUGGCGGUGGCGGCGGCGGCGGCGGUGGCGGACGCUGAAGUUUCAGCCUAAGACUAACACAGACCGACAAUCAUCCUCUACAGCGACUGGUCAUGCUACGGACAGCUUUGAUCGAAAUUCCACAAAUUCAAAGAAGAAAGGAGACCCAUGCAGUAGUUGGCUUUGAUUCAGUUGAUUAUGGCCGAAUGUCGAUUAAUACAAACCGCAGUCAGA